GCUUGCUUCGGCAGCACAUAGUAAAAUUGGAAUGAUACAGAGAAGAUUAGUAUGGCCCCUCUGCAAGGAUGACAUGCAAAUUCAUGAAGCGUUCCAUAUUUUU